rnacentral:lncRNA from 1 species
GUGUUCUCUUCCGGUCAGGGAGAGCAUAAUCUGUCGUCUUGUUUGUUGCAUCGAUUAGAGCCAAAUUGCUGCCAUAUUUAGCCAUGAUUUCACCCAUAAAUUUUGACUGGUAACAAAACAGAAGUGUUUCCAUGUACUCAUUUGCCACUGAUUCCUCCAUG